rnacentral:rRNA from 1 species
GAUGAACGCUAGCGGCAGGCUUAACACAUGCAAGUCGAGGGGCAGCAUGGGGAGUAGCAAUACUCUCUGAUGGCGACCGGCGCAAGGGUGCGUAACGCGUGAGCAACUUGCCCUCAUCAGGGGAAUAAUCGCUGGAAACGGCGUCUAAUGCCCCAUGGUGAUGGUUCCAGGCAUCUGGUUCCAUCUAAAGAUCCGUCGGAUGAGGAUAGGCUCGCGUGACAUUAGCUUGACGGCGGGGUAACGGCCCACCGUGGCGACGAUGUCUAGGGGUUCUGAGAGGAAGGCCCCCCACACUGGUACUGAGACACGGACCAG